UACGGGGGGGGCAAGCGUUGUUCGGAAUUACUGGGCGUAAAGGGCUCGUAGGCGGCCAACUAAGUCGGAUGUGAAAUCCCCAGGCUCAACUUGGGAACUGCAUCCGAUACUGGAUGGCUUGAGUACGGGAGAGGAUAGGGGAAUUCCUGGUGUAGCGGUGAAAUGCGUAGAUAUCAGGAGGAACACCUAAGGCGAAGGCAGCUCGCUGGAACGGUACUGACGCUGAGGCGCGAAAGCGUGGGGAGCAAACAGG
rnacentral:rRNA from 1 species